rnacentral:rRNA from 1 species
CUCAAAUGUAUGUUGACGUAUUCGUGUAAAGGGAUACUUCUUCGGACAAUAUACAAGGUGCUGCAUGGUUGUCGUCAGCUCGUGCCGUGAGGUGUCGGGUUAAGUCCCAUAACGAGCGCAACCCCUAUCAUUAGUUGCCAUCAGGUCAAGCUGGGGACUCUAAUGAAACUGCCUACGCAAGUAGUGAGGAAGGUGGGGAUGACGUCAAAUCAGCACGGCCCUUACGUCCAGGGCUACACACGUGCUACAAUGGCCGGUACAAAGGGCAGCUACCUGGUGACAGGAUGCUAAUCUCAAAAGCCGGUCUCAGUUCGGAUCGGAGUCUGCAACCCGACUCCGUGGAGUUGGAUUCGCUAGUAAUCGCGCAUCAGCCAUGGCGCGGUGAAUACGUUCCCGGGCCUU